AGAGUACGUGUAGGAUGACAUGGGGUGAUGUCAAACUAAGGUGCCCCAGUAAGUUAGCCGGCAUGAUGUGUGGAGAUGCAUGUGAAUCCAACAAGAAAGUCUGCAGAAAUCACUAUAAAAAAGAAAUAACAUGUGUGCCUACAAGACCUAUAUGAGGUGACAUGUGUAUGCUCGUGGAAUUGUUGUAGCUUAUUUGAUAGUUGUGUUUGUAAAGUCAAUAAGAAAAGAUGUGGCAAAUGAAAAUCAAUCUCUGCUAAUUUCUUCAUGAUUUUACAUUGCUUACAUCUGGCGAAAUGAAAAGGUUAAGUAGGAGUUUGGAUAUUGUUUUGUUGAAGAUCGAAAAACAAUAGAAGUAUAUGAUCUCCAAAUAUUAUUUAAAAUAUUUAAAAUAAUAUCUAUAAUCAAGCCAAAAAAAUCUUCAUGAAUGUAAGAUAUUCCUAUGUUGACGAUUUUACAUGUGAAAAUGCAUUACCAAUUUUGCGGUCAACAACAAUUCAAUGAGUGUGAGAGUACAAUUUCCUAAUAAACAUCACUCUUAGAUGGUAUAGAUUUUCAUUCUUCUUGUUUUACUUUCAAUUUUGGGUUCUAACAAAGCAUUAAGUCACAAGCAACUACCAUAACGGCCCAACUUAGUUUUGAUUAGACUACUGCCUAUAGGGUUCUAACAAAGCAUUACACAAAUAAAUGUCAUCCUUCUAUUAGUUUGGUGAAGAUACCAAAUAUUGUUUAUAGCAUUGUAUUUAAAAUUUCCUAUACUAAUGUCACACCACCUUUUUCUGAAGAAUAGAGAAUUUUCCUAAUUAAAGUGACAUUAUUCGAAAUGACAUUAUUUAUUUGAUUAGAGUCGCCGCUUGGAAUAAUUAUUAUGGUGCUCCAAAUCACCGGUUUAUUUUAAAAUCUCAAAUCGAGGAAAUUGACUCUAUUUUUAUGGUCCACGAGCACAGAAGACCGGGUAAGGAAUUCUGUUAACCCGGGAGAAGGUGUGAGGCACUCCUGAGUUCCAUGGUUUUAGUACGGUCGCUUAGUAAUUAAUACUUGGCCUAAUUAUCUGAUUAUUACAUGUUCUAAGAUUUAUAUGUGUUUUUACUUUCUAACCACUUUUAAUAUUUAUGGGAUAUAUUUAAACAAGCUACGAUGUCUUACACUUGCCGUUUUAGUACACACUGCAAGCCACAUCACAUGAAACGCACCUGCAAUUUACAAAAGUGCUUACGUGCUUAAUUUAUUGUUAUUGAAGUUGUGGUCAAGUCGCGCGAAACGCGCACUACAGUUUGGGAUUAUGUAUUAUGACUAUGCCACAGGAACCGUACCCAUAGUCACGAUGUUUUAUUUAUUAAUCGCGUCUAAAACAACUAGCGCAUGUUCAUAAGAUGUUUAUCCUAAAUUAAGUUGAAAUUAUUGUGAGGCCAAUAGUUUAUGAAAAUUAGUUGGGGAAGAAGAGAAGUAAAUUAGCUAUGGAAAUGUGGGUUAGCGUUACUGAUUUUAUUCUUCCGGGUUGGCAGACUUCCCUAUUUGGCACAACUAUGUGAUGACCCCAAUUUGGAGAUGAUGAAUAUUCUCUCACACACGAAAGCUUUUGCUGUUUUUAGUUUAACUCUAGCCAUGUUAGCAAUAUAUCGAAUUCUAAAUCCCAAGCACAUCAAGGAACUAAUAGAAAAUGGAUACAUGCUAAUCAUUCAUAUCAUAUGUAAGCCUACACAUAUUUUCCUUUAUGUCAUUGGUACAUACUAAAUAUUUAGCACUAAUUAUUCAACACAAAUAAUCGACGUCGAGGGAUCAUUGUUAGUUAGGCAAACGAAUUAUCAAAACAGAAAACAAAGAAAAUUCAGCUAAAGCAAAUGAAUGAAUAAUGUUGCAAUAUUCACAUAAUCGAAACAGAUAAAGCAUUUUCAGCUAAACAACUUUCACAUCAUUGAUGUAUUUAAACAGCAAUAAGUCACAUGAGUUUAAGGAAAAGAAGAGACAAAUUCACAUUUAUAGUAACAAAAUGCCUAUUAUAAUUCAUGGUUUCUAUAAAUUAAAUGAAGAUUACACUCAUUAAAAAGCUGGCUUGUACCUUAAACUGCAGCAGAAUAUAAAAAUAACAGCCAGAGAUGGCUAUGGAGUCCAGCUAGUGAAGGAAGGAACAGCAGCAGCAAAUCCCGAUUUUGUUUUAAGUUUUUGAACUUUGAGAUUUCUAGCAGCUCGAUUACCUCAAGAAUCCCAAAACUAACAAGUAGAUGGACUGAAAUUUGACAGAAAACAGGAGCUUCCUAAUUUCCCUUUCUAAUCUGUUUCCCCUUUUUUUAAGUUUUUUUCUGUUCUUCUUCUUUCUUGUAUUUUUCCAGAUCUGAAAUCCAAAAGUUUGAACACAGAAAUUUUCAGCUAUCUUUUGAUUGUGAGUUUUCGUGUGGGUGAGGAGAAGAUAGUGUGGGGUGAGGACGUGGAAUGGUUACGUGAGAGAUGAGUGAGGUGAGAGAGAAGAAAAAAAGGGGUGACGACAGUCUAUUUGGAAAGAAUUAGUGUAUGUGACGACCCAAAGGCCAUCAC
rnacentral:lncRNA from 1 species